AGAAGCUGACAAGAAAAAAUAGAAAAUGCCAGGAAACACACAGUUAGCAGUAGGAAGACUCUUUGUUCUAGGAUGACUCUUAUAGGUCAACUCCUGUAGUGGUAGUGCCUAUAAAUAUCCUUGAGUUCUUUAUUUCUAUCACUCAUUGAGAAUCAAAAAUCAAAAUGUCUUCUCAUACUGCAACUAAGUACGAUGUUUUCCUAAGUUUCAGAGGGCAUGACACUCGCCAGAACUUCAUCAGUUUUCUCUACAAAGAACUGGUUCGAAGGAGCAUUCGAACCUUCAAAGACGACAAAGAGCUGGAGAAUGGCCAGAGGAUUUCGUCGGAGCUCAAACGCACCAUCGAGGUGUCAAGAUUCGCCGUCGUUGUUGUCUCAGAGACCUAUGCUGCGUCUUCUUGGUGUCUCGAUGAGCUCGUAACGAUCAUGGAUUUCGAAAAAAAGGGUUCCAUCACCGUGAUGCCCAUCUUCUACGGCGUGGAACCGAAUCAUGUGAGGUGGCAGACCGGAGUACUCGCUGAACAGUUUAAGAAACAUGGGAGUAGAGAAGAUCAUGAGAAAGUGCUUAAAUGGAGGCAAGCAUUGACCAAUUUUGCGCAACUCUCCGGCGAUUGUUCAGGGUGAAAUUUCGUAACUUGAUUUUUUUUUUGAGUUGAAUCAAAAAGAUUGAAUUUUUUAUUGUUUGAUUUGAAUCGAUGCUAAAGUUUGGAUUUUUUUUUUUGUCUCUGUAGUGAUGAUGACUCGAAGCUGGUGGACAAAAUUGCUAACGAGAUAUCAAACAAGAAGACGAUUUAUGCAACAAUAAACAAUGGGAAGAAUCUAGUUGGGAUUGAUACACACAUGAAGGAACUAAACCGAUUAAUGCAUAUGAAUUGCAACAAAGUUACUGUAAGAAUGGUUGGGAUUUGGGCAAGAGGAGGCGAUGGUAGAUCAGCUCUAGCUAAAUAUGUUUAUCAGACAUCUUGUCAACAGUUUGACAGCCAUUGUUUUCUUGGAAACGUGAAAACGAUUUCUCAGGGUCGCCACUCAGCGCAUCUACACGACGAGUUUCUGAGAAAUAUUAAAAGAGAAGACUCUAACAAACAAUGUCUUAAGAAUCAAAAGGUUCUGCUUGUGGCAGACAACGUUACUAAGGUUAAACAGUUAGAAGCUCUUGCAGGGGAUUUCAGCAGUUUUGGUCCUGGGAGUGUUGUUAUUAUCACUACAGACAACAAGGGGUUGUUGAAUUCUUAUGGUAUAACAGAUGUCUACGAAGUUGAGCAUUUGAAGUUUUGUGGAAUCUUACGAUCAUUGGGCUUUAAAAAGAGAGCUGCUGCGUUCCAGCGGGCUUUGUGUAGAGCAAAGAGUUUUGCCACGGAAUGUUUUUGUUGUCAAAGUAGUAGUAUAUCUGGUUAUGGGAAAGUGACAGAUUUAGUUUAAUUAAGUUGAAUCCCUUAUUAGUCAUAUGCAUUAAGUUAAGUAAACUUAAUAAGUUGUGUGGCUUAGAAAUAAUAUUGUUUUGUCUAUUUUUGGAGUGGGUUGCUCUUGGGGUGUAGAAAAAUGUCACUCUUCAUUGGAUUAAGUAAUAUACAUUUUUUUGUUCCUUAGUUUUUAAGACAUUUUUUUACAUCUGGAUGUGCCAGUUGUUUGUAAUAUACUGUUCUUUCCUUAUAGAAAUAAAUAUUACACAAUUUUUUAAAAAAGAUUUAUGUAUUUGGGAGGGUUUUUUGAUGUUUGGACAUGCCCAAUAAAAUUAAAAAUUAAUACAGGAGACACAAAGUCGCUAACUUUCCAAAGUUGGAAUCUACAUAUGUCUAAAACAGAGAAGAAAAGCUUUUAAACUUUUUACAUGACGAUCCUCCAAUAAUAGUAAUACACUACUACAGUUCAAAGCCACUGACAAGUUUCUCGCUUUUUUCCCUUAAUGAGAAACUCUUUUAACCUGCUUUUCUGAUUUAUGCUCUUUGGGUACGUGGAAGAUUUCAAUCACAGACUAACGUAAUUAAAUCAUUUAUUGGAAACUGUGAGUCAAGCUGAAUAAACUUGAUGCAAACGAAUAGAUAUGAAAGAAAUUGGGUUGAUCAACAAAAAAACAAGCCGACAAAAACUGAAUCUCAUGAUAUGUUUUCGUCCGUCAGUUUUAACCGUUCGUUUGAUCGGAUAAUCAAAACCAGUAAAUGCCAAUAAUACACACCAGAAAAGUAAGAUGAUAAUUUUUGUUCGUUAGUAGUAUUUUAUUAUUAUCAUGCUCAUCAUUUUCUUACUUUGGCGGCCCAUCUUUUCUCUUCCCCUCUUUCUGAGUAGUUUAGUAAAACAGAACCUGACAGAAAAAAAUAGAAAAUGCCAGGAAACACACACUUAGCAGGAAGACUAUGGGAGUCUCUAACCAAUGCACAUGCUUUAUUUAGUUCAACUACUCUCUAGUGGUCUAUAAAUAUCGUUGAGUUCUUUAUUUCUAUUACUCAUCAUAGUUCUCAAUAGAGAGAAUCAAAAAUCAAAAUGUCUUCUCCUACUGCGACUAAGUACGACGUCUUUCUGAGUUUCAGAGGACUCGACACUCGUCGCAACUUCAUCAGUUUUCUCUACAAAGAACUCGUUCGAAGAAAAAUUCGAACUUUCAAAGACGACAAGGAGCUCGAGAAUGGCCGGAGGAUUUCUCCGGAGCUCAAACGCGCCAUCGAGGAGUCGAAAUUCGCCGUCGUUGUGGUCUCUGUGAACUACGCUGCGUCUCCUUGGUGUCUCGAUGAGCUUGUGAAGAUUAUGGAUUUCGAAAACAAGGGUUCCAUCACCGUGAUGCCUAUCUUCUACGGCGUGGAUCCUUGUCAUUUGAGGAGGCAGAUCGGAGAUGUCGCUGAACAGUUUAAGAAGCACGAGGCUAGAGAAGAAGAUCAUGAGAAAGUAGCUUCGUGGAGACGAGCAUUGACCAGUUUAGCGAGUAUCUCCGGCGAAUGUUCAUUGAAAUGGUGAAAUUUCGUAGCGUUGGUUAGAAAGAUUGGAUUUUUAUUUGAUAUGUCUCGUUACUAAAGUUUCGAUUUUUAUUUUGUUUUCUCUCUGUAGGGAAGAUGAAGCGAAUCUGGUGGACGAAAUUGCUGACAAGAUAUCAAAAAAUCUGAUGACUGUUACAACAAUAAGCAAUGGGAGGGACCUAGUUGGGAUUGAUACACACAUGAAGGCUCUUAACAAAAAAUUGGAUUUGAAUUCCAACAAAAGUUUGAGAGUGGUUGGGAUUUGGGCAAGAGGAUACAAUGGUAGAUCAGCUUUAGCUAAAUAUGUUUAUCAAGACAUCUGUCAUUGGUUGAAGGUUGGUUGGUUGAAGGUUUAUCAAGAUAUCAAGACAGCUUCCAAACUUUAUGUUUUAACUCGUUGGUUGAAGGUUGCACAUUUGCUUCAUAGAUCACAUCACUCUUUUAAAACUGAGUAGCCAGCCAAUCAAUAACCCGAAUUUCACUGAGAAAUCCCCACAUUUGUUAUGUUUCCAUACUACAAAAUCAUCUAUUGACACCACUAGUUAGCUGUGAUCUUAUAAAGAUGAGUAAGCCAACCAAACCAAUAACCCAAAUUGGAAAAUGUGAGUCAAGCCGAAUAAACUUGAUGUAAUAACCUAUUCGUUCUAACUUGAAAUUGUUAUUAAAAUCAUCCUUAUCAAUUAGCCUUUCUCGUCCGUCAAUUGACUUAGUUCUAACCAUUCGUUUGAUCGAUAAUCAAACAAACAGUUGAAUCUUCUUCAACCAAUUAAAUUAGACUACGAGUAACUAAAUGCCAAUACACGAGAAAACUAGACUAAGAGGAGAAUUUGUGUUCGUUAAUAUGUUAUCCAUACUCAUUAUCUUAUUUUGGCGGCCCAUCUAUUCUCUUCCCUCUUUCUGAGUAGUUUAGUGAAACAGAAGCUGACAAGAAAAAAUAGAAAAUGCCAGGAAACACACAGUUAGCAGUAGGAAGACUCUUAUAGGUCAACUUCUGUAGUGGUAGUGCCUAUAAAUAUCCUUGAGUUUUUUAUUUCUAUCACUCAUUGAGAAUCAAAAAUCAAAAUGUCUUCUCAUACUGCAACUAAGUAUGAUGUUUUCCUAAGUUUCAGAGGGCAUGACACUCGCCACAACUUCAUCAGUUUUCUCUACAAAGAACUGGUUCGAAGGAGCAUUCGAACCUUCAAAGACGACAAAGAGCUGGAGAAUGGCCAGAGGUUUUCGCCGGAGCUCAAAAGCCCCAUCGAGGUGUCAAGAUUCGCCGUCGUUGUUGUCUCAGAGAACUAUGCUGCGUCUUCUUGGUGUCUCGAUGAGCUCGUAACGAUCAUGGAUUUCGAAAAAAAGGGUUCCAUCACCGUGAUGCCCAUCUUCUACGGCGUGGAACCGAAUCAUGUGAGGUGGCAGACCGGAGUACUCGCUGAACAGUUUAAGAAACAUGCGAGUAGAGAAGAUCCUGAGAAAGUUCUUAAAUGGAGGCAAGCAUUGACCAAUUUUGCGCAACUCUCCGGCGAUUGUUCAGGGUGAAAUUUCGUAACUUGGUGAUAAAGAUUGAUUUUUUUUAGGGUUUGUUAAGAUUUGAGUUGAAUCAAAAAGAUUGAAUUUUUUUAUUGUUUGAUUUGAAUCGAUGCUAAAGUUUGGAUUUUUUUGUUUUGUCUCUGUAGUGAUGAUGACUCGAAGCUGGUGGACAAAAUUGCUAACGAGAUAUCAAACAAGAAGACGAUUUAUGCAACAAUAUGAUGAGUCCAGACGAGAAGAAGAAGAAGAAAGGAGAAGGCCCAUAAGGACUCGCAUGCCCAAUCCAAAGUAUUCCCAACACUAAGUCAUUUUACUUAGUCUCUGUUUUCGAUUUAGUUACAAUAAGCAAGGAGUCUUCCACGAUUACAGUUUCCAUCUUUUCCAAGUUUGUAGAAGUUGUUACUCCACGUUUGUUUCCAUGUUGUUUCUAGUUGUAAGGAGGUGUACUCCAAGUAUUUAUAUCAAUGAAAAACAAAACAAAAGGUAGUCUUAACUAACAAUCGUUUAUCAAUUCUAAGAACUAGAAUUCUCUUUGGUUUUGAAGAGGGACCAUUACAAUAAACAAUGGGAAGAAUCUAGUUGGGAUUGAUACACACAUGAAGGAACUAAUCAGCUCUAGCUAAAUAUGUUUAUCAGACAUCUUGUCAACAGUUUGACAGCCAUUGUUUUCUUGGAAACGUGAAAACGAUUUCUCUACCAAGUGUCGUUAGCUCAAUUGGUAAAGACCUUAAGCGAAAGCUUCGCUUAGGGUCGCCGGUUCGAGUGACGCUUGAGACGAAACUAAUAUUACAUGAUGUGGUUUCGGGUCUGGGUGGAUUACGGGUUUCGUUCAGAACCUCCUGGAUUUCAACAAAAAAAAAAAAAAAAAAAAACGAUUUCUCAGGGUCGCCACUCAUCUACACGACGAGUUUUGAGAAAUAUUAAAAGAGAAGACUCUAACAAACAAUGUCUUAAGAAUCAAAAGGUUCUGCUUGUGGCAGACGACGUUACUAAGGUUAAACAGUUAGAAGCUCUUGCAGAUGAUUUCAGCAGUUUUGGUCCUGGGAGUGUUGUUAUCAUCACUACAGACAACAAGGGGUUGUUGAAUUCUUAUGGUAUAAAAGAAGUCUACGAAGUUGAGAAUUUGAAGUUUUGUGGAAUCUUACGAUCAUUGGGCUUUAAAAAGAGAGCUGCUGCGUUCCAGCGGGCUUUGUGUAGAGCAAAUAGUUUUGCCACGGAAUGUUUUUGUUGUCAAAGUAGUAGUAUAUCUGGUUAUGGGAAAGUGACAGAUUCAGUUAAUUAAGUUUAAAUUCCUUAGUCACAUGCACUAAGUUAGCUAAACUUAAUAAGAUGUGUGGCUAGGGGUGUAAAACAAAUAUCACUCUUCAUUAAAUUAAGUAAUAUACACUUUUUUUUCCUUAUCAAAUCUGUGUUUGAGUUAUAACCUAAAUGUUUGUUGUGUGUCUCUUUCAAGUCUAUAUUUUCUUAAAAACAAAGUUUGUAUAAUUUCUUGGGAUUCCCAUGACCAUUUGUUCUUUGAAUACCCGAAUUCUCAAAGGCAGUUUGGUUGUCAAAUAAAGAUUACACAAUUUAUAAAAAAAGAUUUGUGUAUUUGGGAGGGUUUUUGAUGUUUGGACAUGCCCAAUAAAAUUAAAAAUUAAUACAGGAGACACAAAGUCGCAAACUUUCCAAAGUUGGAAUCUACAUAUGUCUAAAACAGAGAAGAAAAGCUUUUAAACUUUUUACAUGAUGAUCCUCCAAUAAUAGUAAUAGUGUAAUGGUACUAUACUACUACAGUUCAAAGCCACUGAUUUAUGCUUUUUGGGUACGUGGAAGAUUUCAAUCACAGACAAACGUAAUUAAAUCAUUUAUUGGAAAAUGUGAGUCAAGCUGAAUAAACUUGAUGCACACGAAUAGAUAUGAAAGAAAUUGGGUUGAUCAACAAAAAAACAAGCCGACAAAAACUGAAUCUUAUGAUCUUUUUUCGUCCGUCAGUUUCAACCAUUCGUUUGAUCGGAUAAUCAAAACCAGCAAAUGCCAAUAAUACACACCAGAAAAGGUAAGAUGAUAAUUUUUGUUCGUUAGUAGUAUUUUAUUAUUAUCAUGCUCAUCAUUUUCUUACUUUGGCGGCCCAUCUUUUCUCUUCCCCUCUUUCUGAGUAGUUUAGCAAAACAGAAGCUGACAAGAAAAAAAUAGAACAUGCCUGGAAAUACACAAUUACACCACUUUAGCAGGAAGACUAUGGGAGUCUCUAAUCAAUGCACAUGCUUUAUUCAGUUCAACUACUCUCUAGUGGUCUAUAAAUAUCCUUGAGUCCUUUAUUUCUAUUACUCAUCAUACUUAAGUUCUCAAUAGAGAGAAUCAAAAAUCAAAAUGACUUCUCCUACUGCGACUAAGUAUGAUGUCUUUCUGAGUUUCAGAGGAGUCGACACUCGUCGCAACUUCAUCAGUUUUCUCUACAAAGAAUUCGUUCGAAGGAAAAUUCGAACUUUCAAAGACGACAAGGAGCUUGAGAAUGGCCGGAGGAUUUCUCCGGAGCUCAAACGCGCCAUCGAGGAGUCGAAAUUCGCCGUCGUUGUUGUCUC
rnacentral:lncRNA from 1 species